CGUAUAUUUUUCCAUUGCUACAUUGUUAAAUAAAUAACAUGCAAUUAAUGAAAGCAACAUAAGAAUCGUAAUUAUUUUUUCCAUUUGGGAACCAAGGACAAAAAUACAAUCUAUAAAACAAAUUAAAAUAUUCCCAUAUAUCUCAUCCUCCGAAUGGCCUACGGUCUGAGUAGUCUGACAUAUAGCAUUCUCCUUUCAGAGCCGCUGCCAUAGCAUAUUGUCAUACUGAUAGAUAUUUAGAAGUUAAACCCUUAGUGCAAACCAUGUGAUGCAUAGACCAAACGUCCACCGACAAGCAACCCUAACCCUAACCUCUUUUACUCCUAUCUCACAACAGUACACACCUGUAGGUAAACCUUAAUAAACCAAUACUUAGAAUGACUGACUGCAAAACACAGUAUUCAGGCGGGUUUAUCCUCAGGUGGAAUUUUUCAAUGGUGUCUCUAUGAUUUGUAUCUAGUAGCAGGCCUACUAUAUUGUGAUAUGUUAUAAUCAGUGUCUGAGAAGAUCCCGCUCUGUGACACGGACAUAAAAAAAUCCACAGGAUAUUACGCGUGUUUUCUCUAAAUUACAGAAUUGUUUAAUCAGCAAUGGUGACAAAAUGGCAUAAUUACAAUGUCAACGAUAUUGUGAGACAUAUCCCCAUGUGUAGAUUUACCUUUACCUUUUCACCUUUAGAUCUCCAAAUAAUCCCCAAAAAAUCAUAAAUAAGGUAAUGUCUCCAUAUUAGUCAAGCUUACCUCCCUGAACGAGGACCUCCACCAUGAGGAACACGGCUGUUCGGACCAGAACACCAUUGAGUUCUGCCAUCUUAUUCUUCCUUCGUGCCUCUUGGGUCUCUCAGUCUGCAGCUUGACGACUCAACUUCACUUCAUUGGAACGAUAACAUGAUCUGGGGAGGAAGAAAGGUGUUGUGGUUCCUGUUGCAGGGCCACUCCUCCUCUCCUGUAGUUUGGAUUGGUUUGUUUUUUCCAUUCACCCUUUUGGGUGUGCCAUGUCAAACCGGAUUUACUUUUUGGAAACUGAAUGAGGUCGCCAAACCAACCUGAGUUUGUUUACAAAUAACUCAUUUUUGGAUCAGGUUAUAAUGUAAAAAUGUGUGUAUUCCCUCUACAUGUACUAAACAAUCACAAGACCCUUUGCCUUUGCCCCAGGGCCUAUAAACAAUCAUUGUCAUGAUCUUUCCUUGUCCUUGUGUUGUUUUGGGUUUGUUCCCCCCUUGUCCACCAGAUGUCGCUAGACUGUUCACUCACCUCCCGUCUCCGGCCUGCAUUCAUGGCCUUCCCCUCACCUGUGUGUUCUUGUCCGUCUUCCCACCUUCAACUCAUUCCCCGAUCGCUCUCUCCCCAAUUAUACUGGUUCACCUCCUUUGUUCCUUGCCGGUUCCUCGUGUUCAACCACAAAAUAACAUUGCAACGUUCCCAUGUCAGUUGUGUGUGUAUUUUGGUACAUGUUUUCUUAUGUUCAUGGUGUGGUUAGCAAUAAUACCUAACUACGCCAUUGAUAUCAGUAUCAAUGUAAAUGCAGCAAACCAAAUGAGGCAUAGUAACUAUUAGUUUCUUGUUUUAAUGUGGUGUCAUGUCGUUGCAGCUCCUGUUACUAGAGUGGACAUUGUGCUACUGAACAACACUGUCACCUGUCCUCGCCCGGCUACUGUCCUCCAGAACACAACCGAGGUCCAUGAAGAUGACCAGGGACUCUAUGACAUCAGUGGCUCCUUAAGGACUGUUUACAAUGACACAGAAUCGACAUACAGCUGCUUAGUCCAAAAUGAACAGUGCAAGGAAAGCCACGAUGAGGUUACACCCUCCAAUGGAAAAUCUUUCCAAGAGUGAGGCGUUACUCCCUUGUAACGCCUCGGGGCUCGAUGACAUCACCUGGACCUUCAACCACAACCAGACCAUCCUCAGAAGACAACCAGGACAAGAGGAGGUGGUGGAAACAGAGUGGCAGCAGCAUGUAAGAGACCUGUCUGAAUCAGGCAGCCUCCUGCUGUAUGUGACCUCAUCAGCCCAGAGUGAAGGGACGUACAGGUGUACUCUCAGGUACGCAGACGAAGAAGACGUAACCCACAUUGAACUUAAGAUAUUGGAAGACCCUAUUGUAGAGGGAUCUUCUAGCACAGUUGGGAUCAUUUUAGGAGUCGUGGAUCCCGUUAUCAUUUUAAUCAUCGCCAUCAACAGUUUAUAUAUCAUAUAACCGAUAAAGGUAAAACCACUACUUUCAGCAUUCAUUAAUAACAUGUUUACUACACAUUUUAAUUUUUAUAGAAUUUCUUGAGAAAGGUGGGGAGGUUACUUCUGGGUUAUUUAUGAGUGAUGUGGGACUGUGUAGUUUUACAAAUAGGAUUAUGAAGCUAUUAUUAAUAUAACAUUGUUACUUCUCGGCCAAAGAAGGACGAGGAAGGAGCUCAAACAACCAAAG